CACAUUUUUAUACGCUUCCUUUGUAUAAUCGCGAUAAUAUGGAUCGCAAGUUUCUACCUAACAACCGUAAAUUGUUAGACUAUAAGGGAAAGCGGUACGUAU
rnacentral:ncRNA from 2 species